rnacentral:rRNA from 1 species
GGGCUAGCGUUGUUCGGAAUUACUGGGCGUAAAGCGCACGUAGGCGGAUUGUUAAGUCAGAGGUGAAAUCCCGGAGCUCAACUUCGGAACUGCCUUUGAUACUGGCAAUCUAGAGUCCGGAAGAGGUUAGUGGAAUUCCCAGUGUAGAGGUGAAAUUCGUAGAUAUUGGGAAGAACACCAGUGGCGAAGGCGGCAUCCUGGACCGAGAUUGACGCUGAGGCGCGAAAGCCAGGGGAGCAAACGGG